rnacentral:rRNA from 1 species
AGAGUUUGAUCAUGGCUCAGAUUGAACGCUGGCGGCAGGCCUAACACAUGCAAGUCGAACGGUAACAGGAAGAAGCUUGCUUCUUUGCUGACGAGUGGCGGACGGGUGAGUAAUGUCUGGGAAACUGCCUGAUGGAGGGGGAUAACUACUGGAAACGGUAGCUAAUACCGCAUAACGUCGCAAGACCAGAGAGGGGGACCUUCGGGCCUCUUGCCAUCGGAUGUGCCCAGAUGGGAUUAGCUAGUAGGUGGGGUAACGGCUCACCUAGGCGACGAUCCCUAGCUGGUCUGAGAGGAUGACCAGCCACACUGGAACUGAGACACGGUCCAGACUCCUACGGGAGGCAGCAGUGGGGAAUAUUGCACAAUGGGCGCAAGCCUGAUGCAGCCAUGCCGCGUGUAUGAAGAAGGCCUUCGGGUUGUAAAGUACUUUCAGCGGGGAGGAAGGGAGUAAAGUUAAUACCUUUGCUCAUUGACGUUACCCGCAGAAGAAGCACCGGCUAACUCCGUGCCAGCAGCCUCGGUAAUACGGAGGGUGCAAGCGUUAAUCGGAAUUACUGGGCGUAAAGCGCACGCAGGCGGUUUGUUAAGUCAGAUGUGAAAUCCCCGGGCUCAACCUGGGAACUGCAUCUGAUACUGGCAAGCUUGAGUCUCGUAGAGGGGGGUAGAAUUCCAGGUGUAGCGGUGAAAUGCGUAGAGAUCUGGAGGAAUACCGGUGGCGAAGGCGGCCCCCUGGACGAAGACUGACGCUCAGGUGCGAAAGCGUGGGGAGCAAACAGGAUUAGAUACCCUGGUAGUCCACGCCGUAAACGAUGUCGACUUGGAGGUUGUGCCCUUGAGGCGUGGCUUCCGGAGCUAACGCGUUAAGUCGACCGCCUGGGGAGUACGGCCGCAAGGUUAAAACUCAAAUGAAUUGACGGGGGCCCGCACAAGCGGUGGAGCAUGUGGUUUAAUUCGAUGCAACGCGAAGAACCUUACCUGGUCUUGACAUCCACGGAAGUUUUCAGAGAUGAGAAUGUGCCUUCGGGAACCGUGAGACAGGUGCUGCAUGGCUGUCGUCAGCUCGUGUUGUGAAAUGUUGGGUUAAGUCCCGCAACGAGCGCAACCCUUAUCCUUUGUUGCCAGCGGUCCGGCCGGGAACUCAAAGGAGACUGCCAGUGAUAAACUGGAGGAAGGUGGGGAUGACGUCAAGUCAUCAUGGCUCUUACGACCAGGGCUACACACGUGCUACAAUGGCGCAUACAAAGAGAAGCGACCUCGCGAGAGCAAGCGGACCUCAUAAAGUGCGUCGUAGUCCGGAUUGGAGUCUGCAACUCGACUCCAUGAAGUCGGAAUCGCUAGUAAUCGUGGAUCAGAAUGCCACGGUGAAUACGUUCCCGGGCCUUGUACACACCGCCCGUCACACCAUGGGAGUGGGUUGCAAAAGAAGUAGGUAGCUUAACCUUCGGGAGGGCGCUUACCACUUUGUGAUUCAUGACUGGGGUGAAGUCGUAACAAGGUAACCGUAGGGGAACCUGCGGUUG